rfam:Pteropus alecto contig9160, whole genome shotgun sequence.
GUCUAGGGCCAUGCUACCCUGAACAAACCCGAUACCAUAUGAUUUCGGAAGCUGAGCGGGGUCAGGCCUGGUUAGUACUUGGAUGGGAGACUACCUAGGAAGACCAGGUGCUAUAGGUG